rnacentral:lncRNA from 1 species
GCAUUGCCGUGGCUGUGGUGUAGGCCAGCAGCUAUAGCUCCCAUUAGACCCCUAGGCUGGGAACCUCCAUAUGCCGUGGGUGUGGCUCUAAAAAGACAAAAGACAAAAAAACAAAAACAAAAAAAUAUUAUUUGUAUCUUGAAUACUACAUGUAUUUAUGAAUACCACAUCUCAAGAAUCAAAGGUAGGGUGAGACCAUUCCAAGUGGAAAAAGUGAUGAUUUCACACUGCAGUGGAACAUUAGUUCCCUAUGCAGGGAAAAUCCAUGUUUUGUUCCUAUGGUACUUUCAGUGUUCCAUCCUCUCUGGCUUUUCAUAUACUUUAUUUAUUUAAUAAACAUUUAUUAAACACUUAUGUUAGGGACUGGUAAGCAGGGCUGGGCGUGUGCUCACAAUUUUGAGUUUUUAAUAGAAAGUCAGCUUGACAAAAAUGUUACCGUAGUAUUUUGUAUAAUAAUCUGAGGAAUAACUAAAAAUAUCUUACCUGCUUUUCACAUAAAAGAUAAUCAUGGGAACUGGCCAACUUUAUAUUUGAGUUAAUAUGUAUUUUUCUCCCUCACUAUUUAUACAUACACAUAUGCAUGAAAUGUCUGUAUAUACUCAUUGGAAUUUUAUUAAAUGGGAGGCCAAUUCUGAUACUUUAAUGGAAGUUAUACUUUUAUGAAUUCAUAGCACUUUAAAAAUAAGUAUUAAGAGAUAACUUUUAAUUCCCACAAUGAGACUCGACUUCAUAUCUACUAGGAUGACUAUAAUCAAAAAGAUAGACAAUAAACAAAUUAGAACCCUCAUGAUGAGUUCUUAGCCACUUUGGAAAAUAAUCUCAUAUCCCCCAAAUGUUAAUCAGCCUCACCUUCUGACCUAGCAGUUCCACACUUAGGUGAGAUUACACCUGGCAGUCUCAAAAGAAGUAGUGAAGUCCAGGCUAUGAGUUUCAGGGAAUAGACAUGAAAGGAGUCUGAGUCUUCUUUUGAGGACUCUGAAUUCUCUGAACUCUUGAGGGAUGGAGGCCUAGGAAAGAAUAUUCUUGGUCGGAUUUCUUGGGACUCGCUCAUGACCUCUUGGAUGUCUGGAAAGGAGAUUUCUUACCUUUUCUUUGUACAGUCCCUGGGCAGGGUCUCUCUUAUUUAGAGAGCUUGGGGUACACUCUUUGUACCUACAGUUAUUGAUCCUUUAGUCUUUUGUGUGUGUGCGUGUGUGUGUGUGUUUAGGGCCACACCUGUGGCGUAUGGAAGUUCCCAGGCUAGGGGUCCAAUCAGAGCUAUAGCUGCUGACUUACACCACAGCCACAGCAAUGCCAGAUCCAAGCUGGGUCUGCAACCUACACCACAACUCAUGGUAAUGCUGGAUUCUUAACUCACUGAGUGAGACCAGGGAUUGAACCUGCAUCCUCAUGGUUCUAGUCAGAUUCGUUUCUGCUGAGCCACAACAGGAACGUCGAUCCUUUAAUCUUAAUAGUAAAAAUUUCUAUUUGUAGAAAAUUAUAAUAAAUCUCAAGUUGUUAGUUAUUAGUUAUGCAAAUAAAAUAUGAAAUAAACACAAAACAAAAUUGACAGAAGUAUAAGGAGACAUGUACCCAUCUAUGGUUCUCUCAUGUUCGAUAGGUUGGACAGAGGAAAAUGAACAAUGAAGUUAAUAAGAAUAAUUUAAUAGACAAAAACAGGACCUUUGACCCAACAAUUAGAGAAUAUAAUUUCUCAAGCAUAUAAGGGAUAUUUCUGUGGAUUACUAUAAAUGCAAAACAAGUCUUAACAAAGUUUGAAGGAUUAGUAUUACACAGUGAUAUUUUCUAACCAUUAUAUAAUUAGGUUAGAAAUCAAUAACAAAAAUGAUAACGAAAUAAGAAAAACAUAUUUAGAUUCUUUUUUUAAAAAACCCAAGCUUCUAAAUAACCAGAGAUAAAGAGAGGAAUUUUAAUGCAAAUUAGAGAGUAGUUGUUGGAAUGAUGGCAAAUAAGUAUUAGAUAGAAAUGUAUACUAUUACAGGCUUAAUUGCAGGAAGAAAGAGAUGCUGAUAGUCAAUUAAAGCUCAGCCUAAGAAGUUAAAAAAAGAGUCAAAGAACAAAGCCAAAGAAAUUCAACAAAUGGCAAUAAUAAGUAUAUAAAAUAAUGGAAUAGGACAGAGAGAUAUAGUAAAGAGAAACAACGAGGCCAGAAAUAUGUUCUUUGAUGCUAACAAAGUGGAUAAUACAAUGAUCGAAAGAGAAUAAACAAAUAAAAUUAAUAACAAAGAUGUAGUAGAGAUUUAAAAAAAAAAUACUAGAAGGCAUACCAAUUUAUUUAGUGGACCAGACCUCUUUGUAUACAAGCAAAAAUGAACUUCCUUUUUUCCUAUACUUUCCUUACAAAGAUAUAGUAAAAAAUAGUCUGUCUUGCCAUUAGAAGGAAUCUGUAGCAAGUUCUAUAAUUUUUUCUCAUGUCUUAUUAGAGUUCUUUAUUUUUAGUAAGAAAGUCUAGUUCAGGUUAAUAUCAAUGAUUUGAACAUUUUUUUUUCCUGGAGAAAUUGUAACUUUUAUUGUUUCACAAAUUAUGGGUUAGAUUCUUUUGCUUUUUGGGGGGGUGGGGGAUGCUCUUUUUUUUUUUCUUUUUAUGGCUACAUCUAUGGCAUAUGUAAGUUCCCAGGCUAGGGGUCGAAUUGGAGCUGCAGCUGCCGGCCUACCCCACAGCCACAGCAACAUGGGAUCUGAGACACAUCUGUAAUUUACACCACAGCUCAUGGCAAUACCAGAUCCUUAAACCACUGAGAGAGGCCAGGGGUUGAAUCUGUGUUCUCAUGGAUCCUAGUCAGGUUCAUUACUGUUGAGCCACGACAGGAACCCCGGAUUAGUUUUUUUCUUUAAUUUUUAUUUUAUAGUGUUUUUUUUUUUUAAUUUCAUUGUGGUAUAGUUGAUUUACAAUGUUGAAUUAGUUUCAGGUGUACAGCAAAGUGAAUCAGUUUUAUAUAUAUAUAUAUUAUAUCCAUUCUUUUUUCCCAUAUGGGUUAUUACAGAACUUUGAGUAGAUCUCCCAAUGCUAUGCAGUCGGUCCUUGUUAAUUACAUAUUUUAUAUGUAGUAGUGCGUCUGUGUUAAUUCUAUCCUCCUGAUUUAUCUCUCUUCUUCCCCACAGUUUUCCCUUUGGUAGCCAUAAGUUUGAUUUCGAAAUCUGUGAAAAAUUUCCUUCCUCCUCCAGUCAGAGCCUAGUUUAGUCAUAAGUUGUGGAAGUGGGAAGAAUGUCUAUUUUCUCUCUUCCCUGCUCCAUCUUUUCCCCAAGUGAUUUGUGGAGUUUUACUCUUUCAGGGAAGAUGUUAAGGGAACAGGGGACUAAGAGAAAAGAAUAAAUUAUUCAGUGGCUAACACAGUUCACCUCUAGAUAUGGCAGAUGCAUACUUAUUUGGUGCUGAUUUCAUUAGCACUUGUCUUGUGUUCCUCAGGCAUCCCCCACUGUGAAUCUCUUGACAGAGGAUACCCCCACUGUCUGGCCAAUUAUAACUCCCCCUCAGUCCUUGAGUUUCUAGCUGGGUCACACUGUUCCUCCAGAUGAUCCUCUUGGAUAAUGUUCCUUUAAACAUAACUCUUGGCUGACUCCCUCCUGUGGACACUCACACCUUUUCCCUGCUCUUGGAGGAAGAGCCUUUGGUUUGAAUACAAUCUUUUCUCUCAUUGCUAUGUUAACUUCAAACUACCUCUCAUGUUUAGUUUAUCCCUAUGAAAAUUGAUCCAAUCUCUACAGAGUCUCAGCUGCAGGAGGCAUAUAUGAACUUAUGUGUGGUUUGCUUUAGAUACUCUUUAUUCAACUUAUUAAGGGCAAGGGGAAAGGAAACUGUCUCUGCCCCACAGAGAGGGAGAAAGACAUGCAGUGUAUUGACAUGCCCCCCCACCCCCGCCCAAGCAUCAUUAACCCCAAAUCCUUCUGCCGUCUCAUAGGUAAUAACUUGCUUUAAGAAGACAUACUUGAUAACCACUAUAUUGUUUGUC